rnacentral:rRNA from 1 species
UUUAAUUAUAACUCAACUCAAGAUUUUAUUA